CUCAGACUCAGACUCCAGUUAAUUCAUUUCUCAGUGUACAUGUAACACCAGAGGACAGAGAAUGAAGGAAAUACCACUGUCUGUCAUUAUUGUACUACACAUCUGGUCCUACGGUGUUAAAGCUCAAGAAUCUGGAAAAGUCUGUGAAAGACCCCAACUGGACAAUGGCUUUGUUGACCCGGAGCAGAACAUGUACCAGGAUGGCAUGACUUUGACUUAUGCCUGUGAUAAAGGUCUGAAAACACCAAUGGAAGGCUGGUGGGGGAUGAUUACAUGUGAGAAUGGUAGAUGGUCUGAUACUCCUCUGUGUACGGCCAGUCAUUCUUGUGAUGCACCUCCUCAAGUGAACCAUGCAACCGUUGUUCAACAAUAUCAAAACAACUUUAGUAAUGGAUCAAAAGUGGUUUAUAAAUGCAAAAGAUCCUACAUAAUGGAAGGGAAUGCAGAUGUAGUCUGCCUUUUAGGAGAAUGGACCUCCGCCCCCACAUGCAGUCAUGAAGCCUUACGGAAGUGUAGGGACAACGAGUUUCAGUGCAGUAACAGAAGGUGUAUACCGACCAUCUGGAGGUGCGACAAAGAUGACGACUGCUCAGACAACAGCGAUGAGGAAAACUGUGAAUAUGAACUACCAUGUCAUCCCAUUCAGGUUAUGAAAAUGUAGAUCCAUAAUGGGUUGUUCAUGAUGAAGAUGUGACUUACCGAAAGACCCGAGGAUGGAUAAUACCUUGUCCAGUUGUUCACAUAUUACAACAUAUGUGUAUUUUCUUAACAGGGCUAGGAACAGCAAAUCACCCGAAGAGAGGAAAAGAAAAAUAGAUUGUUUAGGAUAAAACUGAUAAAUGUAGCUUUUACAUUUGGGUCAUGAUAUAGAAAAUGAUUUACAGCACAAGGGCUUCAAAAUUCAAGAGGCACUCGCACAUCUAAGCAGUCUUUUUUUGCAGGUGCAUGGUAACAGUUGAACAAGAUGAAGGAAAAAGGAAACCGCACACUGCUCUUGAUAGUAUCACUGAUCUUUAAUGAGCUUACGUAUCGGCCUCACGGCCUUCGUCAGGGCUUUUAGCACAAGGGGUUAAAAUGGAGGGGAGCAGAGUAGGGUUCCAUCAUGACCGAUCUCCAUCAUCUUAGGACUGGAUAGAGCCUCCUGGGUGACGCAGUGGUCUAAGGCUGUGCCAGUAGAUAUCCUGGUUCGAGUCCAGGCUCUGUCGCAGCCGCCCAGCCGGCAGGGAUGUUCUUGUCCCGUUGUGCUCGAAUGACUCCUGUGGUGGGAUGAGUGCAAUGCAUGCUGACAUGAUCACUAGGUGUGCAAUAGUAAAGAACUGCUCAUGACUGGAUUACAUUUGGAAACAACAAUCUGAAACUGUCAAUAAAUGAAUGUGUAUGUGGGACACUGAUCCUUCUGUAUCUUA